rnacentral:tRNA from 1 species
GCCGUAUCCGGGUCCAUGGUGGCGUCCGUCUGGCUGUAAACCAGGAGUCUUUGACACGGGGAGUUCGAUUCUCUCAUACGGCAC